GACGAACGCUGGCGGCGUGCUUAACACAUGCAAGUCGAGCGGUAAGGCCCUUUCGGGGGUACACGAGCGGCGAACGGGUGAGUAACACGUGGGUGACCUGCCCUUAGCCCUGGGAUAAGCCUGGGAAACUGGGUCUAAUACCGGAUAUGACUCCAUGACGCAUGUUGUGGGGUGGAAAGCCUUGUGCGGCUAGGGAUGGGCCCGCGGCCUAUCAGCUUGUUGGUGGGGUGAUGGCCUACCAAGGCGACGACGGGUAGCCGGCCUGAGAGGGCGACCGGCCACACUGGGACUGAGACACGGCCCAGACUCCUACGGGAGGCAGCAGUGGGGAAUCUUGCGCAAUGGGCGAAAGCCUGACGCAGCGACGCCGCGUGAGGGAUGACGGCCU
rnacentral:rRNA from 1 species